GACGAACGCUGGCGGCGUGCCUAAUACAUGCAAGUCGAACGCACUCUCGUUUAGAUUGAAGGAGCUUGCUCCUGAUUGAUAAACAUUUGAGUGAGUGGCGGACGGGUGAGUAACACGUGGGUAACCUGCCCUAAAGUGGGGGUUAACAUUUGGAAACAGAUGCUAAUACCGCAUAAAACCUAACACCGCAUGGUGUAGGGUUGAAAGAUGGUUUCGGCUAUCACUUUAGGAUGGACCCGCGGUGCAUUAGUUAGUUGGUGAGGUAAAGGCUCACCAAGACCGUGAUGCAUAGCCGACCUGAGAGGGUAAUCGGCCACACUGGGACUGAGACACGGCCCAGACUCCUACGGGAGGCAGCAGUAGGGAACCUUCCACAAUGGACGAAAGUCUGAUGGAGCAGCGCCGCGUGAGUGAAGAAGGUUUUCGGAUCGUAAAACUCUGUUGUUGGAGAAGAAUGUAUCUGAUAGUAACUGAUCAGGUAGUGACGGUAUCCAACCAGAAAGCCACGG
rnacentral:rRNA from 1 species